AUGGCAGGACCUCUAGGCUACUCGAAGUUUGCAGAUAUGAGUACUGCACAAGAGUUUAUUGAGCUCGUACGUGGAAAUUGGGGGAAAAGGCUCCAGCCAAUGCCGUGGCAUACAUCACAGGAAGUGAACAAAUGCAUCGAAAUAGCAUUAAGAUGUGUGGAGGCAGACCGAGUGUUAAGGCCUACCAUAACUGAGAUUGUCGAUGAGCUCAGAAAGAUAGAUACCAUGAAAAGGUCAUCCACAAGCCAGGACUCCGAGCCUGAGUCCAAAAUGCGUGCCAUAAUCGACCCUCUCGAGCUACGGUUCCCAUUGGAGCUGAACAAGGAGGUCCGGUGCGUGCUGCAGCUGACCAACAUGACGGGUGACACUAUCGUGUUCAACGUGAAGAUGAACCAGGACAAGUACUACGCGCAACCAGAAGAAAGAGAUUGCGACGAUGCGAGCAUGGGGGGAAGCCGCGGCGCCACCGGACAUGCAGUGCAACGACGUGUUCCUUGUGCAGAGCAGAAGGGUGAGGGAGGACGACCAUCUGAUUGCACCAGACAGCGAUAUCGCUGA
rnacentral:rRNA from 1 species